CGGAGGAGUAGCGAAGUGGCUAAACGCGACGGACUGUAAAUCCGUUCCUUAGGGUUCAGUGGUUCGAAUCCACUCUCCUCCA
rnacentral:tRNA from 3 species